CGCUGGGUCAUUCAGUGUGUGUCUAUAGCCGUGUCUGGGAGGCGUAGGUGAAGCGCGUGUAAUGUUACCUUUGUUUAAUAUUACGAAAACAUUACAUGAACAUUGUGACGCAGCUGCUCAGAAGACGGGAUACGAAUGAACAACGCGCCGCCACCGCCGUUAUGCUCGCCGCCGCUGCCGCCUUGUGUGGAGCUGAAUGAACCGUCAGCACCGUGGGACGUCUGCAUCUUGCCGCUCCCCGCCCACGUAGGCACAGCGGCGUGGCGCGACCGUCUGCCUGCCCCGUCGCCAAACAAGGCGAGAUCCCGGCUCGUCUGCUGGUGGUUUAUCGCGUCCAGACUGGUGAGAUGCUGCAGCUGUCCUUGUGCUACUGAUGCGGCUUGCUGAUACUGCCGCUCUGGUACUUCUGGGCGUCGGCUUCAUCACCUUUUCAGUGUCUCGUCUCCUGUCAAAAACUUUCUCGUCAGACUUGUGUGCUAAUUGUUUUUAGUACUAAGCAGCCAAAAAUUAAAUUCCUAGACUUCCCAAUUUUUUUUUUCCUGCUAUAUUACCGAGCAUUUCUUUUGGGGAGACUCUUUGAAGUACUGUAACACUGGUGGCAAUGAAUUUCAAAUGCUCCAGCUGUGUCCACACGUGCAGCCAUUGAGACAAAACAGUGACAGUCUUUGAUGAUUAUCCGAACUUAUAUCAGUGUGGUACCUGUGGACAAUUAAGUGGUGUGAGGGAGUGGCUCAGGAGGUACCAGAGAAGGGGAAACACACAUCUUUAGCAGAAUCUCUAAUGAAUAUAUCGC